rnacentral:rRNA from 1 species
UACGAAGGGUGCAAGCGUUACUCGGAAUUACUGGGCGUAAAGGGUGCGUAGGUGGUCGUUUAAGCCCGUUGUGAAAUCCCUGGGCUCAACCUGGGAAUGGCAGUGGAUACUGGACGGCUAGAAUGCGGUAGAGGGUAGUGGAAUUCCCGGUGUAGCAGUGAAAUGCGUAGAGAUCCGGAGGAACACCAAAGGCGAAGGCAGUGUCCUGGGGAGUACCUGACACUCAGGUGCGAAAGCCAGGGGAGCGAACGGG